rnacentral:lncRNA from 10 species
CUUACGCCUGUAAUCCCAACACUUUGGGAGGCCGAGGUGGGCAGAUUACCUGAGGUCAGGAGUUGGAGACCAGCCUGACCAACAUGGAGAAACCCCAUCUCUACUGAAAAUACAAAAUUAGCUGGACAUGGUGGCACAUGCCUGUAAUCCCAGCUACUCGGGAGGCUGAGGCAGGAGAAUCGCUUGAACCAGGAAGCAAUGGUUGCAGUGAGCCGAGAUCGCGCCAUUGCACUCCAGCCUGGGCAACAAGAGCGAAACUCCGUCUCAAGAAAAAAUAAAAACAAAAAAUACGUGAAGAUAUGCCUUAGCCCCAGAUCACAAAAAUAGCAACACUUUUUCUAUCCUGGCAAUUAUAAAUGUUUUGAGUCUGGCCCAAAGUUGAAGUAGAAAGAAAUUGAUGGUAAAGAGAUACUUUCUUUGCAAUUUGGUAAUUUGUGAAUGGAAGGCAGAAAGGAAUUAGGUGAUCUGUGCCUUCAUUAAAAAAGACUCCACAAAUACCACCCUUACUCAUAUCUAGGAUUCUACAGGAGACAAAAAUUCAUUAUCAAAAUACCAAGUCUUUUUGAGUGUGCAGCAGUCAUUCAGCAAAACAUUUUCUGGGUGCCUUGUUGUCACUCAAUUUGAGCACCAGCACCUCUUGGAAAUGCUUUCUGAUCUCCCAUUGGCUGAGAGCCCUUCUCUUGCUUCUGUGACAGCUUCUCUAUACAACAACUUUGUAAUCAUCAACUAUCUUCCUAUGUCCCUGGUUAGGAUUAUGAGCCUCCCAGUGUAGGGAACAUGCUUUGUUCAAAGGUGCUCAAUAGAUAGUUGUUGAAUAACACUGAAGGCUUUAUGUUAUAAAGAACUAUAUAAAUAGAAUGGGAAAAUCCCCAUACACAAUAGCAACCCCAAUGCAAA